ACUGCGGAGGGAUCAUUA
rnacentral:rRNA from 6 species